CCUUCCCUCGGAGGCGUUGCAGAUGCGGCUGCUGUGUCACAGGUGCACCAGUAGGCGGCACAGAGGAGGAGGCUCCCUGUGGUAGCCUGUGAAU
rnacentral:snoRNA from 1 species